CAAAACGUUCAUCCAGGAUCAACGUUUUGGCCAGCCAAUCAGAAGUCAGCAGCAAGAGAAGAGCCCGCCUACUCAUGAAGUCGUACACCUGAAGUCCAGCGAAUGGAGUUGGUAUGAAAUUGUAGGCCUAAUGGAUCCACACCGUGACCUAGUGCACCGGACCCUGUUGAGAUGCAGCCACCUCAGCUUCAUGAAGAAACGGCAAGAUUCAGAUGACUACACCGUUUCAGAUCUACUCGUCUCGCUCACCUGUCCACCUGGAUGAAGGAUCACACUCUGCAGCUGAACAUGUCCAAAACCAAGCUCCCAAUCAAAUUGUUCUAGGUUAAUCUCUAACAACAAACUUUUUCUUCACACAUUGUGCCUUGCUGAUUUUGUUUGUUUGCAUAUGUAACUGAGGUAGCCUGGUUUUACCAGACCACAUUAAUUGCUUCGUAAGUAAUUUUAGGUCUGGAUCCUUGGUGUCCUUGAGCACCAGGGCGGGAGAAGUGAGCUCAGCUCUGAUUUGAAAUGAGCUCUGUCCAAUCGCUGACAAUUGACGUAUGUUAUUCUCCCAAGUGCGUUCACGCCGGUUGUCAGUGUUGCCAGAUGUACGAUAAUUUAUACCAUAAUUUUGUUCUUCCGCCGGUCAGGUAGCGUAUGUCACACUUAGUAUACAAAGCUUGACAUGGUACCAUUAUAGUCCCAAGAUGGAGCAAACAACACAGGUGUUGACAUUAUAUAGCAUGGGCAACUUAUGAUGAGGAGGGCCAUGUUUUUUUCAGCACCAGCAUCAGGGGUUCACAUGACCACGGAUCUGACUCCAAUUUACAGAGUUGUUUGCUCUCUGACUGUCCUUAUUGUUUGGAAGGAAUAGAAUACUCUACCUGUAUGCUCAAUACUCUAUUGGGCAGUCAUGGGUAAGCAGUUAGGGUGUCAGACUUGUAGCCCAAAAGUUGCCGGUUCGACUCCCGACCCGCCAGGUUGGUGGGGGGAGUAAUAAACCAGUGCUCGCCCCCAUCCUCCUCCAUGACUGAGUUACCCUGAGCAUGGUACCGUCCCGCCUUGCUCCCUUGGGGCACCAUUGAGGGUUGCCCCCUUGCACGGAUGAGACAUGAAUGUGUGCACUUGCGUGCUGUGUCACAAUGACAAUGUGAGUUGGAGUUUCCCAAUUAGGCUUUCACUUUCACGCUUUCACUCUAUUGGCCUACAGUAUAAUUACAACAGAUUGAUUCAGUAAUCGUGUUUAAAAAAUAUGGUCAUUAUUUUCUUAAUUAGGCCUACUGCUUUAUGUAUAGGGCGCAUUGAGUGAGGAGGCGGGCUGCAUGUGGCCCCCGGGCAUCCAUUUGCCCAUCCCUGUUGUAGAGUGAACUACACAGUGAUUGUUGUCUAUAGCAGUGGUUCUUAACCUGGGGUGGGGGCACCCCCUCGGGGUUCGCCAGAGAUUCCAGGGCGUGUGCGGAAUUUUGUUAGUGUUGAGGUUGUGACCAAAAUUCUGUUUGGGAACAUUAAAAUUAGGCCAAAUCAGAACCAAAUUAAAAAUAUAUGGUCCCCAUUUAAAGCCAUAAAGAUUUUGAUUGAUGUCUCUUUGUAAUUAUAAAGGAUGAUAUUAAUCACCUGAAUCAUUUUUAGCCUAUUGUAGGACAUUGUAGCCUAAAGGUUGUUGGUUCGACUCUGGACCCACCAGGUUGGUGGGGGCAGUGAUCAAGCAGUGUUCUCCUCCAUGACUGAAGUAUCCUGAGCAUAGUACCGCCCCGCCGCACUCCUCCCUUUCCGGCGCCAUUGUGAUUUGCCCCCUUGCACGGAUGGGGCAUAAAAUCGAUUGCUAUGUGUGCCGUGGAAUGCUGUGUCACAAUGACACUGGAAGUUGGAGUUACCCAAUUGUGCUUUUACUGGGUUAUUUAAUGGAAGGUACAGUCAUCUAUUACCUAUGAGAAGUAGCAAUAUGCAGUUGUAUUGCUCACACUACCCUUGACUUGUCAGUACAUUGCAUUUUUCGGCUCAGCCCUUUCCGAGAUCUGGGCUAUUCUAAUGGGGGCAGAUUAUGUUUACAUUAAAAACUUUCUACACCAAAUAUUGAUGCAUAACCUUUUGGAUGAUUUUUGGGGGUAAAAAUCUCAGGUACUGACAAGUCCAGGGUAGUGUGAGCAUGACGACUGCAUGUUGAAAUUGGCUGAGCCUUUUAGGAAGCCGGUUGCAUGUAUGUUGGAAACAAUAUUUGACAGCGUCUUAUGUUGGAAACAAUAUUUGACAGCUUAUACUGCAGCGUCUUAUCGCUACUACAAAUUAUUAUGUAAAUGUGGAUUUAUUUUUUAUGACAUGAAUACCAGGCUCUACUGUAUUUGAAGAAACUGACAAUAAAGCUGCCACUUGUUAACAUGGUGUUGCAUUUCUGUCUGUUGAUCUUAAAUCUAAAAAUUGUGUAAUGAAAUUGUCAU